GGGUGGGCGCAGCUGGCUACGUCCUAGUCGAGUUUGACCCCGGCUGGAGGUGAUCACCGGCUAAGGGUGAUUAAUCGUGCGCAAUCUGCCCUGCACUCUGGGACAAGCCCUGGAAACGGGGUCUAAUACCGGAACGACACUCUCGGGCAUCCGAUGAGUGUGGAAAGCUCCGGCGGUGCAGGAUGAGCCCGCGGCCUAUCAGCUUGUUGGUGAGGUAAUGGCUCACCAAGGCGACGACGGGUAGCCGGCCUGAGAGGGCGACCGGCCACACUGGGACUGAGACACGGCCCAGACUCCUACGGGAGGCAGCAGUGGGGAAUAUUGCACAAUGGGCGAAAGCCUGAUGCAGCGACGCCGCGUGAGGGAUGACGGCCUUCGGGUUGUAAACCUCUUUCAGCAGGGAAGAAGCGAAAGUGACGGUACCUGCAGAAGAAGCGCCGGCUAACUACGUGCCAGCAGCCGCGGUAAUACGUAGGGCGCAAGCGUUGUCCGGAAUUAUUGAGUUCGGUAGGGGAGAUCGGAAUUCCUGGUGUAGCGGUGAAAUGCGCAGAUAUCAGGAGGAACACCGGUGGCGAAGGCGGAUCUCUGGGCCGAUACUGACGCUGAGGAGCGAAAGCGUGGGGAGCGAACAGGAUUAGAUACCCUGGUAGUCCACGCCGUAACGGUGGGCACUAGGUGUGGGCGACAUUCCACGUCGUCCGUGCCGCAGCUACGCAUUAAGUGCCCCGCCUGGGGAGUACGGCCGCAAGGCUAAACUCAAGGAAUUGACGGGGGCCCGCACAAGCGGCGGAGCAUGUGGCUUAUUUCGACGCACGCGAGAACCUUACCAAAGGCUUGACAUACACCGGAACAUCCAGAGA
rnacentral:rRNA from 1 species